UUAAAGGUGCUGUUGAGUGAACCAGAGUGAAGUUUCCAGUUUCUAUAGCUCACACGCUGAAGAACCAUUUUGGAGAUUACAACUGGACUUAAUCCGUAAGAUGUCUUUAAAGCAAAGGCUGCUGUCCUUGUUGUUGUGCUGUGCUUACGCCGUGACCUCAUUCUUCUGCCUCCACCCACAACGCAGCAACCGUUUCCCUGUCCGAACUCGAAAUCUGGCUUCAGUUGUCCAACAGAUUUGCCAGCGUGUCGUCCGGCUGCUGCUCAGCACUCUGUGAUCCACAGCGCCCGCAGUCUUACCUGGACUGGACAAGGCCGGUCCUGUUCCUGUGCUCACUGCAGAUGCUGCUAACAUAUCCACCAACAGCACAUCACCAAAUCACAGAUUAACCAGAA